CUAGGAUCUGCUACUCAUUUGGGGAUGAUACAGUUGCUUUGCAAUUGUCUUGCUGGAAAAAGUAACCAUUUAGCAACUUUAAUCCCUUGUGGUGAUGGUGCUGUAUUUUGCUUUUAACCCCACUGAAUGAUAUUCUUCUCCCUUGGCAUCAGGGCUCUUGAUGAAGGCGCUGUGGCUAGAAGUGCUGUAAACUUCAGGGAAGUGAACACCUGCUGGCCCUUCCUCUCGUUUUGUGUUGGGUAUUGUCUGCCUCCUGACUUACCUGAGGGUUUCACGGAUCCAUGCACAUGGCUCUGGACCUGGAAUAGAUCUUCAGCUCAGGGAAAGCUUCAGUGGAGGAAGAAGUACAGACCGGAAUGGAAAACAGAGUACAGAUUGGCAUGAAAAUAGAGAAUCUUUAAGACCUAGACUGGGAGAGAUGAGGCACCUCUAUAUAACCCUCCUACCACAUCAAAUUCAUCUGUAAACCAACAAAAAGUAAGUGGAGAAAAAUGAUGCUCAUGUAUUAACUGUUUACUAAUUUCUGU
rnacentral:lncRNA from 1 species